AUUGAACGCUGGCGGCAGGCCUAACACAUGCAAGUCGAGCGGAGCGGCGGACGGGUGAGUAAUGCAUAGGAAUCUGCCUGGCAGCGGGGGAUAACGUCCGGCAACGGGCCCUAAUACCGCAUACUUUCAGAUGAGCCUCGGUCGGAUGAGCUAGUUGGUGGGGUAAUGGCCUACCAGGGCGACGAUCCGUAACCGAUCUGAGUGGAUGAUCAGCAACACUGGAACUGGGACACGGUCCAGACUCCUACGGGAGGCAGCAGUAGGGAAUAUUAGACAAUGGGCGAAAGCCUGAUCGAGCCAUGCCGCGUGUGUGGAGAAGGUCUUCGGAUUGUAAAGCACUUUAAUUUGGGAGGCGGUACCUACAGAAUAAGCACCGGCUAACUACGUGCCAGCAGCCGCGGUAAUUC
rnacentral:rRNA from 1 species